rnacentral:miRNA from 16 species
CAGGCUGGUUAGAUGGUUGUC